rnacentral:rRNA from 1 species
AUUGAACGCUGGCGGCAGGCCUAACACAUGCAAGUCGAACGAGUGGCGGACGGGUGAGUAAUGUCUGGGAAACUGCCUGAUGGCGGGGGAUAACUACUGGAAACGGUAGCUAAUACCGCAUACCAUCAGAUGUGCCCAGAUGGGAUUAGCUACUUGGUGGGGUAACGGAUCCCCAAGGCGACGAUCCCUAGCUGUUCUGAGAGGAUGACCGGCAACAGUGGAACUGAGACACGGUCCAGAUGCCUACGGGAGGAAGAAGAGGGGAAUAUUGCAAAAUGGGCGCAAGCCUGAUGAAGCCAUGCGGCGUGUAUGAAGAAGGCCUUGGGGUUGUAAAGUAUGUUCAGCGGGGAGGCGUUACCCGCAGAAGAAGCACCGGCUAACUCCGUGCCAGCAGCCGCGGUAAUUC